ACUCAAGUAGCUUAAAAUUUUAAAGCAUAGCACUGAAGAUGCAAUGAUAGUUGUUAAACUCUAGAGUA
rnacentral:tRNA from 2 species